AGGAUUAACGCUGGCGGCGUGCCUAACACAUGCAAGUCGAACGAGGUAGCAAUACCCAGUGGCAGACGGGUGAGUAGCGCGUGGUCAACCUACCGUUGAGUGGGGGAUAACUAGCCGAAAGGUUAGCUAAUACCGCAUACGUCUCCGAGGGGCAUCCCUUGGCGAUAAAAGGAGCAAUCCGCUCGAUGACGGGACCGCGUCCCAUUAGCUAGUUGGUGGGGUAACGGCCUACCAAGGCAUCGAUGGGUAGCUGGUUUGAGAGAGCGACCAGCCACACUGGGACUGAGAUACGGCCCAGACUCCUACGGGAGGCAGCAGUGAGGAAUUUUCCGCAAUGGGCGAAAGCCUGACGGAGCGACGCCGCGUGUGGGAAGAAGGCCUUCGGGUCGUAACCACUGUCGAAGGGAAGAUAAUGACGGUACCCUUGGAGGAAGCCCCGGCUAACGUACGUGCCAGCAGCCGC
rnacentral:rRNA from 1 species